rnacentral:SRP_RNA from 1 species
GCCGGGCGUGGUGGCUCAUGCCUGUAAUCCCAGCACUUUGGGAGGCCGAGGCGGGUGGAUCACCUGAGGUCAGGAGUUCAAGACCAGCCUGGCCAACAUGGUGAAACCCUGUCUCUA